UUCCUACGGGAGGCAGCAGUGAGGAAUUUUCCGCAAUGGGCGAAAGCCUGACGGAGCAAUACCGCGUGAAGGAUGACGGCCUAUGGGUUGUAAACUUCUUUUCUCAGAGAAGAAUUUUGACGGUACCUGAGGAAUAAGCAUCGGCUAACUCUGUGCCAGCAGCCGCGGUAAGACAGAGGAUGCAAGCGUUAUCCGGAUUAAUUGGGCGUAAAGCGUCUGUAGGUGGUUUAUCAAGUCUUUUGUCAAAGAUCAGGGCCUAACCCUGGGCAGGCAGAGGAAACUAGUAGACUAGAGUUCGGUAGGGGCAGAGGGAAUUCCCGGUGGAGCGGUGAAAUGCGUAGAGAUCGGGAGGAACACCAAAGGCGAAGGCACUCUGCUGGGCCGCAACUGACACUGAGAGACGAAGCGAGGGGAGCAAAUGGGAUUAGAUACCCCAGUAGUCCUCGCCGUAAACGAUGGAUACUAGGUGUUGGAUGAGUUCAAUCAUUCAGUACCCUAGCUAACGCGUGAAGUAUCCCGCCUGGGGAGUAUGCUCGCAAGAGUGAAACUCAAAUGAAUUGACGGAA
rnacentral:rRNA from 1 species